UCAUUAAAGAGUUAUUACAACUCCCUAAACCCAUGUGAACUUACCUUCUGUUGCCUCGGCAGGUCGUGUCUACCCGGUGAGGUCCUACCCUGUAGGACCCUACCCGGUAGUCGCGGGUAAGCCUGCCGGUGGCCCAUGAAACUCUGUUAAUUCUAUGUUAUUCUGAAUCUAUAACUAAAUAAGUUAAAACUUUCAACAACGGAUCUCUUGGUUCUGGCAUCGAUGAAGAACGCAGCGAAAUGCGAUAAGUAAUGUGAAUUGCAGAAUUCAGUGAAUCAUCGAAUCUUUGAACGCACAUUGCGCCCAUUAGUAUUCUAGUGGGCAUGCCUGUUCGAGCGUCAUUUCAACCCUUAAGCCCCUGUUGCUUAGCGUUGGGAGCCUACAGCCUCGCUGUAGCUCCCCAAAGUUAGUGGCGGAGUCGGUUUCCACUCUAGACGUAGUAAUUCUUAUCUCGUCUGUCAGUGAGGCCGGUCUCUCGCCGUAAAACCC
rnacentral:rRNA from 1 species